rnacentral:pre_miRNA from 1 species
AGCUUUCUGAAUCGGUGCAGAGAUUCUGUCAGACACAAAGCCAUUGAGUCUGAUCAGACUUCCAAGAUGAGCGAAGUU